rnacentral:rRNA from 1 species
UACGGGGGGGGCAAGCGUUGUUCGGAAUUACUGGGCGUAAAGGGCUCGUAGGUGGCCAACUAAGUCGGACGUGAAAUCCCUCGGCUUAACCGGGGAACUGCGUCCGAUACUGGAUGGCUUGAGUUUGGGAGAGGGAUGCGGAAUUCCAGGUGUAGCGGUGAAAUGCGUAGAUAUCUGGAGGAACACCGGUGGCGAAGGCGGCAUC